UAUUUACCAACGCUGGUUUUAGGGAUCAGCGAAUCGAGAUCAAGAGAGGCGAAAAUGGCGAGGAGGAAUUUCGGGGGGGUUGACGCGGCAGUUGGUCGGGGGAAAUCGCAACAAGCAUCAGCUCCGCGCACGUCUCCUUUCUAAUUCUAUCCAAACCCUAAAUUCCUCCAGACCAUCAAAACCUUCCCCACCACAACCACCACAGACGGCAAUUAAUUGGAGCCACCUCCUCCGUCUACUACCGGUACUCCCUCCUUCACUACCACACACACAAACCCAAACCUCCAUUUUGUGCGACACAAACACUCGGUUCCACUUCCAGAUGGAGAUCGAGAUCCGGCUCCUCGUCCUCCUCCCAACGUUUUCUUCUUGAAUGUCGCACCCGAAUAUGACGAUGCACUCAAACAAGUUGAAGAUGAAAGUCUUUCAGCGGUUUUCUACUUCACCGAACGUCGGGGACCCAGUUCUGUCUCUUACUCGAGUGAUGAUCCAAUCUUGAAUUACAUGUGUGUGUUUUACCCACACAUUACAAAAUUUAGGGUUUGCUUUUUCAAGACUGCAGGUUGUUCCUCAUUGUACCGGUUGGGAGUUUACAAGACGCCAACUUUCCAUUUCUUUCUAAAAGGGGAAAAGGUUGAUGAACUUGCCAAACCUUCUAUCAGCAGCUUGUUAAAGACUCUCGCAAAUGUUUACAAUCCAUCUGGGAUGAAGAAAAGGAUAAUACAAGCU